AAGAAUGGUACAGGCCCCCAGGCUACCCACCAAGACCUGCUCCCUAGCUGUGACCUAUCUUGGAAGUCCCUUGCCAGCCCUUUCUUUCAGUUUUCUCCUUUACAGGGGCAUCUUUUGAGAUUCUCACUGCAACAUCUUUACUAAACCCAGAAGCAAGAAUGAGAAGCACAAACAGAUGAAAUUUGAGGGAACCCCUCUGAGAAUUCAGCUACUACAUCAAGGACAUUGAUGAGACAUCCAGUGGGAUCCUGUGCUUGCUGAAGCCUUCCUCCAAGGCCAGCUAUGCAAGACUAAGCACCGGCAGGCUCACAAGAGCAAAAACAACUUCCCUGGCACCCUCAACCACUGUUUCAGCAGCUUUUUUAAACUGCUUCUUCACCACUCCAUCUGUUCUGGAGAAUACCCAUAUACCUGCAUAUGGUUUGGAUAACAUUUUUAUUACAACCAUCAAUGUUGCUUGCCACCUCUUCAGCCAUAACAAUAAGCAGCCCCUGCCCCACUUAGAGAAGUUCUUCACCCAGAAGUCAGCUGUGGAAGCAAACCUAUGGAUCGAUUGUCCUGGUGUUUGGAGGCAAAAGGACUGGUCACCUAGGUGGGACUGUGCCAUCUGCUUCUGUCCAGGGUUAUUUCAGUUUCUUCCUUAGCUUUCAAUACUACCAGAGAUCUUCCAGAAGGGGGGGGUGACCUGCUUGGUCAUGAGCACUGAGGAAGGACUGAAGAGGCCCAUAGCCAGACAGAUACUUGAGGAUUUGAAGACAGAAAACCCUUGUUUCUUGGUAUCCUAAGAGACUAAGGGGAAACUGGACAAUCAGUGAGUUCCUGUGCCAACUCCAAAAGGCCAGGAUUUCCAGUCCCCUAAACCUGUCCUCAUCUCCUGGAUGCAACAAGAAACAGAGAUGUGGGGCCUAGAAGCCCAAGAUUCUGAGGAGAAAAGGAAUUGUUCAAGAACCUGUAGAGGAGCCAGAAGUGAGAAAAAGAACAGAGAGAGAGAAGGAUCUGAGGUUGAGGAGCCUUUCAUUGUUCCUCAGAGGAAGCUAUCUCCAGAUCUUCAAACCAAGCAGAAGGAAGCAACAUCUGACAGGCCCUUAGAGCUGCCAAGGCCCUGGCCAUGCCUCAAGAAGGAGACGGGCAUUGCCAUCUGCUCAGACUGUGGCAGGACAUUCUGAAAACCCUCAGUCAUGGCACUCCGUAUACGCACAAUCAUAAACAUCUCUACCCUUGUCCUGACUGUGGGCACUGCUUCACCAAUUCUGCCCAAUUCAUCAGCCACUGGCAGGGGCACUCUGGUGUUCAUCUUUAUGCCUGUGUUGACUGUGGACACAUUCAGAGUCCAGGCAACCUGAUCUGCUGCCAGCAUGUUCACUCUGGGAAUCGCCCAUUUGCUUGUGCACAGCGUCGGGCUCGAUUCUAUCAUCAAGAGAACCUUGUCCAAUGCCAGCUUCUCCACACUGGGGAGAAACCCUACCAUUGCCCUGACUGUGGACAUCGCUUUUGGCAGAGUGGGUCCCUGGCUGUCCACUGGCACACCCAUACUGGGAAUCCCUGCCCUGAAUGUGAGAAGCACUUUUUGGACAGUUCAUCCUUAACCAAACACCAGCAGAUCGAUCAAACUGCCUAAAAGAAUCCCGUUGGGCCUCUGUCAGCAGCAUUGGGGCCAAGGUUUUUUGACCCAGAUCUCCCUGUAGGGUUUAAAUACUACCCAGUUAUCUUCCAAGAAUGUGGGUGACCUUGAUUGAAAAGACAAAAGGGAAACUGUCAAGGGAGGUGCUGAGCCAGGCCCUGAAGGGAAGGCGUUGAGGCCUUGAAACACAUCGUGUCUCUGACUAUAUGUGUAAGCAUGGAUAAAAAGUCAAGUUUCUUAAACCCAUGAAGAAUUAAGUCAAGUAAAAAGAAAAAAUGACCUGGCUUCAGCCAAGCAGCCUUUCAUUUGGGAGCUUAACCUAGUGACUACCAUAUUAUGAUGCAUUACUCAGUAACACAGUCUAAAAUUUAAAUCAGAAUCGGCAAACAUUGAUAGAGAAUCUGCUAAAUCCUUCGUUAAGUGUAAAGCACUAUAUAAAUGUAAGUUGUUGUUAUAAAUGAGUAAGGAUGAAAGGUGCCUUGAUGGAUAGAAAGGUGUGAUCAUUGAUCAUGUGAUCCAUUCAUGGAUCUUAGAAUCUAGUUAGGAAGAAAGAUACAAAUAUGUGGAAGGUAAAAAUGCAAUGUAACAACUAAAUAAUGUAUUUCAGAAAGCAGUUCCAUGAUUAAUUGCCUAUGGCAAAAUAAACCCCUAGUUCAGA